rnacentral:rRNA from 1 species
AUACGUAGGGGGCGAGCGUUGUCCGGAAUGAUUGGGCGUAAAGGGCGCGUAGGCGGCCCGGUAAGUCUGGAGUGAAAGUCCUGUUUUUAAGAUGGGAAUUGCUUUGGAUACUGUCGGGCUUGAGUGCAGGAGAGGUAAGUGGAAUUCCCAGUGUAGCGGUGAAAUGCGUAGAUAUUAGGAGGAAAACCAGUGGCGAAGGCGGAUUGCUGGACAGCAACUGACGGUGAGGAGCGAAAGUGUGGGGAGCAAACAGGAUUAGAUACCCUGGUAGUCCACACUGUAAACGAUGAAUACUAGGUGUGCGGGGACUGACCCCCUGCGUGCCGGCGUUAACACAAUAAGUAUUCCACCUGGGGAGUACGAUCGCAAGGUUGAAACUCAAAUGAAUUGACGGGG